CCUACGGGAGACAGCAGUGGGGAAUAUUGCGCAAUGGGCGAAAGCCUGACGCAGCGACGCCGCGUGAGGGAUGAAGGUCUUCGGAUCGUAAACCUCUGUCAGCAGGGAAGAACGGUCACUGUGCUAAUCAGCAGUGAAUUGACGGUACCUGCAAAGUAAGCACCGCCUAACUCCGUGCCAGCAGCCGCGGUAAUACGGAGGGUGAGAGCGUUAAUCGGAAUUACGGGUGGUAAGGGGCUCGUAGGCGGUAUGUCAAGUCAAGGUUGAAAGCCCCGGGCUCAACGUGGGAACUGCCUUUGAAACUGGCAAACUGGAGUGUGUGUGAGGAGAGUGGAAU
rnacentral:rRNA from 1 species